rnacentral:lncRNA from 1 species
UGAGGUCCUAAAGUUCAGAGUCUUACUCUGCUAAGAUUGGUGACGUUAUACAAAGAAGGAGAGCGAGCAAUCUCUCCCUCUUUGUGUGCAGGCAUGUUGAGGCAAGGUCACGGUGAGAAGGUGACCAUGUGCACACCAGGAAGAGAGCCCUCAUCCAAAUCAAAGCCUACCAGAUCUUAAUCCGGGACUUCUAGCCUCCAGAACCAUGAGAGGUGGACAGAGAUCCUGUUGCAGAAGCCACCCCUAGCAGACCGAGACACACGUAUGGACAGAAAAAAAGAAAUCCAUCAGCACAGAAAGCGAGGACCUGAGCAUCCCACCCCCAGCCCUGGGGCUCUGUAUUUGGAUUGUGGCUUUUGGCAGGACUUUUCUCCAUCUGGAUCUGCUACAGCUCAGCCCUAGAGCUGCACUCUCUGCGGCCGCAGGUGCCUGCGCUCGGGGAGAACGCUCUCGGCCUCGCGGCGCCCAGCCACUGCCCCGCCUCCUGCAGCGGCCGACCCGGACUGCCAGCCCCCCAGGGGCCCUUACGUCGUGGUGACCACUCCGACCGCAGGUCCGUGGCCCCCGGGGCGGGUGGGAAGCGAGACAAGUUCUGAGCGAGGGGACAGCGUGGUCGCCGGCGGUUACGAUAUGCCACGACCGGCCAGCCCAAAACCUGCCUCGGUGGCUCCCGAGCGCCGGGCGUGGGGACCGAGCCCGCCUGGCCGCCGCCCCCGCGGACCGAGAGCCACGCGGGGCCCCCCGGUGCGCCCCUCCCCGUCCGUGCCUCAGUCGCCCCACCAUAGGACCGGCACAGGGCUGCCCGGGGGGCUGGCCUCCGGCUGCGUGAGGAGGAGAUGAUACACCCCGUGCGCAGUCACAAGUACAGCUCAGGUGUGGGAACGUUCGGGGGCGACGGUGAGGGCGGGCACGUGCGGGGAGGGGGCGGGGGCGACGGUGGGGGGGGCACGUGUGGGGCGGGGGCGGGGGCGGGGGCGACGUGGGGGGGCACGUGCCGUGCGGGGCGGGGGCGAUGGUGGGGGGGCACGUGCGGGGCGGGGGCUAAGGUGGG